rnacentral:rRNA from 1 species
GAUGAACGCUAGCGGCAGGCCUAACACAUGCAAGUAGAACGCUGAAGGAGGAGCUUACUUCUCUGGAUGAGUUGCGAACGGGUGAGUAACGCGUAGGUAACCUGCCUGGUAGCGGGGGAUAACUAUUGGAAACGAUAGCUAAUACCGCAUAAGAGUAGAUGUUGCAUGACAUUUACUUAAAAGGUGCAAUUGCACCACUACCAGAUGGACCUGCGUUGUAUUAGCUAGUUGGUGGGGUAACGGCUUACCAAGGCGACGAUACAUAGCCGACCUGAGAGGGUGAUCGGCCACACUGGGACUGAGACACGGCCCAGACUCCUACGGGAGGCAGCAGUAGGGAAUCUUCGGCAAUGGACGGAAGUCUGACCGAGCAACGCCGCGUGAGUGAAGAAGGUUUUCGGAUCGUAAAGCUCUGUUGUAAGAGAAGAACGAGUGUGAGAGUGGAAAGUUCACACUGUGACGGUAUCUUACCAGAAAGGGACGGCUAACUACGUGCCAGCAGCCGCAGUAA